GACGAACGCUGGCGGCGUGCUUAACACAUGCAAGUCGAACGGAAAGGCCCUGCUUGCAGGGUACUCGAGUGGCGAACGGGUGAGUAACACGUGGGUGAUCUGCCCUGCACUUCGGGAUAAGCCUGGGAAACUGGGUCUAAUACCGGAUAGGAGCCAUAUUUAGUGUGAUGGUUGGAAAGUUUUUUCGGUGUAGGAUGAGCUCGCGGCCUAUCAGCUUGUUGGUGGGGUAAUGGCCUACCAAGGCGGCGACGGGUAGCCGGCCUGAGAGGGUGGACGGCCACAUUGGGACUGAGAUACGGCCCAGACUCCUACGGGAGGCAGCAGUGGGGAAUAUUGCACAAUGGGCGCAAGCCUGAUGCAGCGACGCCGCGUGGGGGAUGACUGCCUUCGGGUUGUAAACUCCUUUCGCUAGGGACGAAGCUUUUUGUGACGGUACCUAGAUAAGAAGCACCGGCUAACUACGUG
rnacentral:rRNA from 1 species